rnacentral:rRNA from 1 species
UACGUAGGGUGCAAGCGUUGUCCGGAAUUAUUGGGCGUAAAGAGCUCGUAGGCGGCUCGUUGCGUCGGCUGUGAAAACCCGCAGCUCAACUGUGGGCUUGCAGCCGAUACGGGCGGGCUGGAGUUCGGUAGGGGAGACUGGAAUUCCUGGUGUAGCGGUGAAAUGCGCAGAUAUCAGGAGGAACACCGGUGGCGAAGGCGGGUCUCUGGGCCGAAUGACUGACGUGAGGAGCGAAAGCGUGGGGAGCGAACAGG